rnacentral:lncRNA from 1 species
CCGUGAGUUACAGCGAAACUUUAAAAAGACUAUAAUUUUAUCUACGAAUACCAGUUUACGAGCUACAAAUUCUAGGCUAGUCAAGGGACCAUUGGCUAGGUGCUUUUCGAGAGUUUUAGAGGAAAGUUUCCCUGUACCAUUACCAGAUGAUUCGGAGCAAAGCACGAUAGAAAAAGACCAAGAAGAAGAGGAAGACCCC